rnacentral:misc_RNA from 1 species
UCGUUGUGUGAUGUGAUUUAGAAUUUAAGUUUGCUGGCAGACCCUAGCUUCUUAUCAUUCCAGGACUCAAUUAAUUGAGAUGAGGUUGAUAGGAUGCUGGGCUCAUUGUAAUUCGCAAGAAUUGCAGAGAUGUUCAGCAGAACCUUGACAACUGCAUAGGUAAGUCUGGAAAGAAUAAAGCAUCUCAUGGAUGCAUGAUUCUUGGGAAUCCGCUGAUGCAAUCUGCGCGAGCAGAGAGCUGAGGUUGAUCAACGAGAAUGAUGUUUGAUUCUUGAGUCAAGAGCCGAGACUCUAUAGCGUUCUUUCGAUGUCAUCGAGUCAUCGAGAGUUUGAUUGGUGAUUCAAACCAUCUUCAAUGACAAACAAUUCAGUUUAACU